rnacentral:rRNA from 1 species
GACGAACGCUGGCGGCGUGCUUAACACAUGCAAGUCGAACGGAAAGGCCCUGCUUUUGUGGGGUGCUCGAGUGGCGAACGGGUGAGUAACACGUGAGUAACCUGCCCUUGACUUUGGGAUAACUUCAGGAAACUGGGGCUAAUACCGGAUAGGAGCUCCUGCUGCAUGGUGGGGGUUGGAAAGUUUCGGCGGUUGGGGAUGGACUCGCGGCUUAUCAGCUUGUUGGUGGGGUAGUGGCUUACCAAGGCUUUGACGGGUAGCCGGCCUGAGAGGGUGACCGGCCACAUUGGGACUAAGAUACGGCCCAGACUCCUACGGGAGGCAGCAGUUUGGAAUAUUGCACAAUGGGAGGAAGCCUGAUGCAGCAACGCCGCGUGCGGGAUGACGGGCUUCGGGUUGUAAACCGUUUUCGCUUGUGACAAAGCGUGAGUGACGGUAAUGGGUAAAGAAGCACCGGCUAACUACGUG